rnacentral:rRNA from 1 species
UACGUAGGGUGCGAGCGUUGCCCGGAUUUAUUGGGCGUAAAGGGCGCGUAGGCGGCCACGCACGUCCGUUGUGAAAUCGCCCGGCUCAACUGGGCGGGGUCAGCGGAUAUGGCGCGGCUGGAGCAAGCUAGGGGGCAAUGGAAUUCCCGGUGUAGUGGUGGAAUGCGUAGAUAUCGGGAGGAACACCAGUGGCGAAGGCGGUUGCCUGGAGCUUUGCUGACGCUGAUGCGCGAAAGCGUGGGGAGCGAUCCGG